UCCGUAGGUGCACCUUGCGGAAGGAUCAUUACCGAGUGCGGGCUGCCUCCGGGCGCCCAACCUCCCACCCGUGACUACCUAACACUGUUGCUUCGGCGGGGAGCCCCCCAGGGGCGAGCCGCCGGGGACCACUGAACUUCAUGCCUGAGAGUGAUGCAGUCUGAGCCUGAAUACAAAUCAGUCAAAACUUUCAACAAUGGAUCUCUUGGUUCCGGCAUCGAUGAAGAGCGCAGCGAACUGCGAUAAGUAAUGUGAAUUGCAGAAUUCAGUGAAUCAUCGAGUCUUUGAACGCACAUUGCGCCCCCUGGCAUUCCGGGGGGCAUGCCUGUCCGAGCGUCAUUGCUGCCCUCAAGCCCGGCUUGUGUGUUGGGUCGUCGUCCCCCCCGGGGGACGGGCCCGAAAGGCAGCGGCGGCACCGUGUCCGGUCCUCGAGCGUAUGGGGCUUUGUCACCCGCUCGAUUAGGGCCGGCCGGGCGCCAGCCGGCGUCUCCAACCUUAUUUUUCUCAGGUUGACCUCGGAUCAGGUAGGGAUACCCGCUGAACUUAAGCAUAUCAAUAAGCGGAGGA
rnacentral:misc_RNA from 1 species